rnacentral:rRNA from 1 species
AGAGUUUGAUCCUGGCUCAGGAUGAACGCUGGCGGCGUGCUUAACACAUGCAAGUCGAACGGAGUUUUUAAACAGAAGUUUUCGGAUGGAAGUUUAAAAACUUAGUGGCGGACGGGUGAGUAACGCGUGGGUAACCUGCCUCAUACAGGGGGGAUAACAGUUAGAAAUGACUGCUAAGACCGCAUAAUAUAGCGAAACCGCAUGAUUUUUGCUAUCAAAUAUUUAUAGGUAUGAGAUGGGCCCGCGUCUGAUUAGCUAGUUGGUGGGGUAAAAGCCUACCAAGGCGACGAUCAGUAGCCGGCUUGAGAGAGUGACCGGCCACAUUGGGACUGAGACACGGCCCAAACUCCUACGGGAGGCAGCAGUGGGGAAUAUUGGACAAUGGGGGAAACCCUGAUCCAGCGACGCCCGCGUGAGUGAAGAAGUUAUUUCGGUAUGUAAAGCUCUAUCAGCAGGGAAGAUAAUGACAGUACCUGACUAAGAACGCCCCGGCUAACUACGUGCCAGCAGCAGC